GGGCCCGCACAAGCGGUGGAGCAUGUGGUUUAAUUCGAUGCAACGCGAAGAACCUUACCAAGCCUUGACAUCCUCGGAACUUUCCAGAAAUGGAUUGGUGCCUUCGGGAACCGAGUGACAGGUGCUGCAUGGUUGUCGUCAGCUCGUGCCGUGAGGUGUCAGGUUAAGUCCUAUAACGAGCGCAACCCCUAUCGUUAGUUGCCAGCGAGUAAUGUCGGGAACUCUAACGAAACUGCCAGUGCAAACUGUGAGGAAGGUGGGGAUGACGUCAAAUCAUCACGGCCCUUACGUCCUGGCUACACACGUGCUACAAUGGCCGGUACAGAGAGCAGCCACUUCGCAAGAAGGAGCG
rnacentral:rRNA from 1 species